CCUACGGGUGGCAGCAGUGGGGAAUAUUGCACAAUGGGGGAAACACUGAUGCAGCGACGCCGCGUGAGUGAAGAAGUAUUUCGGUACGUAAAGCUCUAUCAGCAGGGAAGAAAAUGACGGUACCUGACUAAGAAGCCCCGUCUAACUACGUGCCAGCAGCCGCGGUAAUCCGUAGGGGGCAAGCGUUAUCCGGAUGUACUGGGUGUAAAGGGAGCGUAGACCGCAGCGCAAGUCUUGAGUGAAAUACCAUGGCUUAACCAUGGAACUGCUUUGGAAACUGUGCAGCUAGAGUGCAGGUGAGGUAAGCGGAAGUCCUAGUGUAGCGGUGAAAUGCGGAGAUAUUAGGAGGAACACCAGUUGCGAAGGCGGCUUACUGGACUGUAACUGACGUUGAGGCUCGAAAGCGUGGGGAGCAAACAGGAUUAGAUACCCUUGUAGUC
rnacentral:rRNA from 1 species